ACACAUUGAUCUAGCAAUAAACAUUUGCUAUUAAAUAAGCAAGGUUGUGGCUCAGUGGUAGAGCACUUGCCUAGCAUGUGUGAGGCCCUGGGUUCCAUCCUCAGCACCACAUAAAAGUAAAUACAUAAAGGUAUUGUGUCCAUCUGCAACUAAAAACGUUUUUAAAAAUAAGCAAAGUACUACACCCAUGUUGCAUGUUAACAUCAACCAUCUGGAGGCCUGAAGACAGGAAGAGCUGGGGAAUCCCUGGGCUUCACCCACACCUGACUAUGGCCAGAGAGUCAUCUCCAACUCCAGGCUCCUGCUGCAGGGUGGGGAGGCCUGGCCUGGGUACCUUUGAGUUCUAAUCCCCAGUUUCCUUCCUCAGGCCCAACUGUGUCAACGUGCUGGUCACCACCACCCAACUGAUCCCUCCCUGGCCAAAGUCCUGCUGUACUGACUAGGCUCAUCUACAGUGCCACCAAGACAGGGAAGGAGACCUGCUUCGAGAGGAUAAUGCAGAGGUUCAGCAGGAAAGCCAUCUACAUCGUGAUCGGUGUCGGCGUGGAAGAGGAGCAAGGAGCCAAAAAGCUCUCCAGAACAUUCUAGAAGUAGAUGAGGUCAACUCUUCUGGACUUGCCUCUCAGAGGUGCCGAAUGACUCCAGAUCUUCCAGAGAAGCCCAGCAGGAUGGAGACCCCACAGAUGUCCCCAGAUUGGCCUCUGGAGUGGAAGCAGGGAUUUGCCUGGCCGAGGGAUUUAGAAUUCAGAGAGCUGUCUUUGGGCUUUGUUUUUUUCCCAUUUCAAAUGACAGAAACAAAGUGGCUUAAAACAAAACAGACUUCCUUGGCUUGUUGGACUGAAAGUUUCAGGAAUGGGUGACCUCAGAUAACCCGCCCCAUACAGAAUUCAAGACAUGUCCCUCAAAUUUACCAUCUUGCCCUCCAUCCUAAAUUCUGUUCCUCUCCUUUGGUUUUGUCUGUGGACCACAUGGACACACUUAGAGAUGAAGCUGUGAGGCUGUUACCCAACCAAGAUUUUCAGUGGUAAAUCACUGUCUGUCCUUGCUUGGGCUGGCCUAGAACUUGCAGUCCUCCAGCCUUAGCCUCCUGAAUCACUGGGAUCACAGGAAUGCACCACCACACCAGGCCCUCUCACGCUGGCUUUGAGGUACAUCCGUGUUGCUGGGGCCAAAAUUCAUUCUGGAUAAGGGUUUAAAGCGCUGGACAGUAUUCCUGGUGCUUUGAGUCUAGGUUGAGGCAAUCGUUGCUAAAGCUGUGCAUACCAGUGACCACCAGGGGGCAGUGCAAUCCCACAGCUGGCUGGCGCUGCCCUUAGAUGCCCUGAGGUGGGACCAAGACACACACACCCCCACCAAGUGUGUGCACAUGUGCUAGGGGACUGCAGGUCACACACCACCAAUGUGUGUGUGCAUGUUCUGAGGGACUUCAAGUCCUCUCUUGAACAGAUUCCCAAAGCAUAUCCUUUAGGCUGUGCUCACUGCUGGGAUCACUCUGAUGUGAUGGCAGCUUCAUCUACAGCCUGUUCAGGCCCAGGAGUUCCCAUGAGGUCCUUUCUGCACUGACCGGACCUCAGCAGACACAAUGUGAGGGGGCUGGUGGCUUCAAGCACUAUCAGGCAGCCCGCAGGGAUGGGAAAGGCAGGUCCUGCCCUCUGCCCAGCUCUGAACCUGGGCACUCCAUGUGUGUGUGCUGUGCUGGGGACUGAGCCCAGGGUGCUCUAGCCCAGAGCUGUGGCCCCGUCCUUCAUGUUUUUUUAUCUUGAGGCAAAGGCUCACUGGAUGUCAACCCUCCCACCGGCCUCCAGGGUGUAACAGUAGAUGAAGUGAAAAAAUGUGGGGGCUUACUUUGACAUCCAGAAGUUUCUCAAGGAUGGCACUAAUCUGACGAUUGUCAGACACUGAGUUUAAAAGUCAUCUUGAACUAUGUGGCGAGCUGUUUAUGGGGAGGGCACCUCUUUGCCCUGCCUGCUCUCACCUGCUGGUAUCUGUGCCCACAGAACCCCAGUUCAGGGAGCCUCCUGGCCACCUAUGGGGCCAAUGAGGGCACAAUCUCAAGCCUGCUUCUAACCCUGCCACAUACCAGGCCCUGGGCAAAGCCCUUGCCCAUCUUAUCCCCAUUCUGGAGAGGAAGAGCCAAGAUUCAGGGCCCAGGUGGUGACCCAGCCCUACCUUUCCAACCACAGGAGCUUCCCUUCUCCAAACCUGUUUUCUUAGCCAUAAAAUGAGAUGAUAGUGGAAAGGCCUUCCAGCAUCACUGCCAGCCCUGAAUGCCCUCAGACACGGCACUUAGAACAGUGGCUUUCAAACCUUUAGGCUGCAUAAGACAAUCAGGCACAGUGGCCACCCUGCAGUGCCAGCUUCUCAGGAGGCUGAGACAGAAUGAGCACUUGAGCCCAGGGUUCAAGGCCACCUGGAAAACAUAAUGAGACCUGAACUCUUUAAGGAAAAAAAAAGAAUAUAUUCUGAAUAUAGCAAUAAACCAGAAGAAAAGAUUGCA